GUUAGGGUUGGAGAUGUCCAGUUGGGAGUCACCUGCAGUCAGGUGGUAUUUAAAACAGUCUGUAAUGAGAUCAGCCUGGAAGAAGGUGUGGAAGGAGAUAAGGAAAGGAGACUGUAGAGAGGCUGCCAAUGAUUGGAGUUGGAGUCUAGCAUUGAAGAGGAGCAAGAAGAGGAUGCCCCAAAAGGAGAAGCUGAGGGGAAGUAAGAGUGAAAAUUGUGCAGUUUGAGUAGUCACACAAGCCAAGUCAAUGAAGUGAUUUAGAGCAGGGUGUUGUCCCAGUUGUGGAUUCCUGCAGAGAAACUUGGUCAGAUGACCAGGGACAAGUGACCCUUGGAUUUGUUGACAUUGUGACUAUCAGUGACCUUGGCAAGAGUGGUUGCUGUGGGUAAAGGGACCGAAGCCUGUUGGAGUAGAGUAAAGAGUGAAAGAGAGCCGGGAAAUGAGAUGCAACCUGGAGUGCUUCCUCUAGAGAGGAAUUUGUUUAAGAUUCAGAAGCACAAGACUUUUGGCCAGGAACUCCCAUCGGAGUCCAAUAGUGCCAGUGUAAUUCCUCUGUGGCUCAUGGUCCCUGGACAACAAUCUCAGGAUUAAUUCAUUCAGCUCAUUUAUUCACUCAUUCAUCAUAGAUAUUGAAUGACUUUUACGCACCAGGGAUUGUUCCGAACCUUGAGGUUUUGCCGUAUCAACUUCCAGAUGAAUGCAUGACUGGGGCCAUCAACGAUAAUUGCACAUUUUGUGUGUGUUUCUCAUUGCUGAACCCAAACUGAAGCCAGCAAGUGUGAGAGUCCAUUGACGCAGUUCGUACAGCUCAGUCUCCAUGGGGAAGAGUGAGAAGAAGAAAGAGUAGAUCUGAAGAGUCAAAUGAAGGAUACAGCAGCUGGUUUUUGUAAACUUCGGUUACACAGUGUGUUCUAUGUAUAGUGGGACUAGCAAGUUUAAAACCUAUAAAUCCUUGAGUCACAUGGUUAAUAAUAGAAUGGUGUCAUAGGCAGAAAAGCACAAGUCCAUGCAAUAAUAGUAAUUUCCAAGUAGUCUUUCAUUUUGUUUUUGUGAAGGCAUAAGCAGAGCCAAAAAUAAUUCUUAAAUUUUAUAUUUUUAUCAUAGUUUCUUCUAUGUGUCCUAUGCCUCUCUCUUCAACAUCUGCCAUCUGUCCUGCUAAACUCUUCUUUGGCAAUCAAUUCUGUUUUGCCUGCUGUCUACAUCUCUUUCCCCCACUCACUUCCUGUUCUAAUACAAAAGCCCCAAAUCCUUUAAUUUGCUAAGGUAGGGAGGACCCUUGUCAGAGGAGAAAGACUGUGGGAGUAGCACAUAGGCUAGUGUUACAGUAGGUAGGGGUCGGUAAAGCUUCCAUAUAGUCAAAUAUUUUAUUCUGUUUUACAAGCAUAGGAGGUACCUAGAGAUACUGAAUAGUGACAUAUCUGAGACUAUUCU